rnacentral:rRNA from 1 species
UACGAACUGUGCGAACGUUAUUCGGAAUCACUGGGCUUACAGGGUGCGUAGGCGGCUUGCUAAGUAGGGUGUGAAAGCCCCCGGCUCAACCGGGGAAUUGCGCCCUAAACUGGCGAGCUGGAGUGAGAUAGGGGUGUGUGGAACUUCCGGUGGAGCGGUGAAAUGUGUUGAUAUCGGAAGGAACGCCGGUGGCGAAAGCGACACACUGGAUCUUGUCUGACGCUGAGGCACGAAAGCCAGGGGAGCGAACGG